rnacentral:tmRNA from 1 species
GGGGAUGACAGGACUCGAUAGACGGAUCCGUUAUCUAUAUAUGCAUACCGAGGGUGUCUCCCCUCGUAAAUCAAGGGGCAACCGAUUACGUGCAAACGUUAUCAGUCGAGUAAAGGCUACACUUGCUAACGCAUUUGCUAUGCCAACACUCGCAUCUGUUGUUGCCUAAAUAAGCACAGCCAUCGCGUCCAUGAUACUCAAUAAUGGUCCCGCGGUGUCAAAACAUUGAGUGUAGGGUAUAUAGUGUGUCUGCAUGGUAUAUCUGAAAUUCUCCUAGGCUAGUACUGCGUGAUUUUGCCGCUUUUUUAUCACAGUAUGAAACAACAAAACGGCUAUGUAUGUAGAGUGUGUAGGUAGCCCGCUCUAGACCUGGGUUCAAAUCCCAGCAUCUCCACAA